AACCAGCCUGAACAGAGUGAUACACCCUUCAACACACCCUCCCCAGGUACACAAACACACACCACCCUCCAGACCCCCUUCAACCAGCCUGAACAGAGUGAUACACCCUUCAACACACCCUCCCCAGGUGGCAGUAUGCGUUCGUUCGGCACAGCGAGGGCCAGGUAUGACUUCUCAGCCAGAGACCGUACAGAGCUGUCUCUGAGAGAAGGAGACACAGUCAAGGUCCUGUCUAAGAAAGCUCACAAUGGAUGGUGGAAAGGAGAGGUCUAUGGACGGGUCGGUCUGUUCCCAGCUAACUAUGUAGAAGAGGAUUACUCUGAAUACUGCUGAUGUCGCCUCAGACCUUCACCUGUGUGACUACAGUGUGUCCCAAUUCAAUCACCCUUCCCUUGCCCCUAACCAGUGCAGUCAAAAAUGUGAUUUUUACUGUUUUGUUUUUUUCAACAAUUUCUCCACACUAUGAGGUUGAAAUAACACUCUGAAAUUGUAUAAAAUUACGAUAAUGUCCUUUUGAAAACAAUGCUUGGAAUUUCAGCCUGUUCAGGUGGGAUGGAGUUUUUGAGCCCAGAGCAUGACAUCACAAUUUGAUCUGAUUUUUCUGA